GCUUGUUUGUGAGUGUUCUAAGCUUUGAGGUGUCAUUUCAAGGUAGCAAAAGGAAAGAGGAGUCCAUUGUGGAGGCUAGAAGUUGGUGUGCAAGUGUAGAUCCGUGAAAAGCAAAGGUUGGAGCUUCUUCCUAAGGAGGGGUUGGGUCUUCGUUUCGAGAUUCGGAGAUAGCGAGCACGUGAGAUUCUAGACUUCCUGCGAGGUACUAGCGAGGACCGUGGGAAGGCGCCGGCGUGAUCUGUACACACUGAUGGAGGAUUUAUGAUCUUGGGAUUUAUAUGAUUUGUAUUAUGAUAUGAUACAUUGGAUCUUUAUGACUUGUUUUGGAUGAAAACAUGUUUUUAAGAAAUGAAAAUUU